GAAUAGAUUGAUCACUAUCCUUCGUGAUGAUUCUUCGAUCGAAAAUAUUUAGAAAUUAACCACUAAUGAUGUAUGUCUCAAAUUUUCAACACUUUGAGAAUAUACAAAAUCAUGUUUGUUAAUUUUUAAGAUAAAUCAUGGAUACAAAUGACAUAAUUGGUUAUAAAGACCGUCCGUCAAGUACAAAACAUGCCCUAGAGAAAGGUACGUGCCAGCC
rnacentral:lncRNA from 1 species